GCAAUAUGAGCUCAAAGCAAUCUGUGUCCUUUUUCCUCCCUCCCCUGGCUGCCAGUCCUGCUCUUUGCUUGUGCUUGCUCAGUCCUUUGUGGGGCCAUGCUGGGCUCUUGGUUUCAUUCGUGCUGAAAGCCAGGAAAGGGUUUUCUGCUCAGAUUCACAGAGUGGCAUCACAAAACACUGUGCUCAUGUAACUGAGCGAGUGGUCUCACCCAGAUGAACCAGAUGCUCUUCAGUGUCUGAGUCCUCUAAUGAACUCGCAAUGAUACUGUGAGGAAGUGAAGGAAAUGGAAGAGUGAAGUUUGGGGAGUCUGAGGCACAAAAAGCCAAAGGAGCCACGGGACAGCCUGUCUGGUUGAGAGAUUGAAAUAUGUCACUGAGACAACUUUCUCUGACUUCAUUAUUUACAUGCCAGCAUCACAGAACUCUGGAAAAAAUGAGGAGAAGGGAUUCUUCUGGACAGAGAUUUUUGGUUCAUUACCACUCCUUUUGGAAUAGAAAAAGAGGAGAUAACUACUCUACAGACCACCUUGGGAAUCUCUGUCCUUCCCAUAUGUCCCAAGAUGACAACUUCCCAGUGUUCUCCAUUGCCACGGGGAUGAGAUGUCCACCAGAACACGCCAUGGCAUUUCCAUGACUGCAACAGACUGGAGGUAAGAAAACUGCU